GGGGUUUAGCUCAGUUGGUAUAGCGCCUGCUUUGCAAGCAGGAUGUCAGGAGUUCUAGUCUCCUAACCUCC
rnacentral:tRNA from 1 species